CGUGAAAACGAGUAGGACGGGACACGUGAUAUCCUGUUUGAAGAUGGGGGGACCAUCCUCCAAGGCUAAAUACUCCUGACUGACCGAUAGUGAACCAGUACCGUGAGGGAAAGGCGAAAAGAACCCCUGUGAGGGGAGUGAAAUAGAACCUGAAACCGUGUACGUACAAGCAGUAGGAGCCCACUUGUUGGGUGACUGCGUACCUUUUGUAUAAUGGGUCAGCGACUUAAUUUUAGUAGCAAGGUUAACCGUUUAGGGGAGCCGUAGGGAAACCGAGUCUUAACUGGGCGUCACAGUUGCUAGGAUUAGACCCGAAACCAGGUGAUCUAGCCAUGGGCAGGUUGAAGGUGAGGUAACACUUACUGGAGGACCGAACCGACUAAUGUUGAAAAAUUAGCGGAUGACUUGUGGCUAGGGGUGAAAGGCCAAUCAAACCUGGAGAUAGCUGGUUCUCCCCGAAAGCUAUUUAGGUAGCGCCUCGGACGAAUACUACUGGGGGUAGAGCACUGUUAAGGCUAGGGGGUCAUCCCGACUUACCAACCCUUUGCAAACUCCGAAUACCAGUAAGUACUAUCCGGGAGACACACGGCGGGUGCUAACGUCCGUCGUGGAGAGGGAAACAACCCAGACCGCCAGCUAAGGUCCCAAAGUUAUAGCUAAGUGGGAAACGAUGUGGGAAGGCUCAGACAGCCAGGAUGUUGGCUUAGAAGCAGCCAUCAUUUAAAGAAAGCGUAAUAGCUCACUGGUCGAGUCGGCCUGCGCGGAAGAUUUAACGGGGCUAAGCUAUACACCGAAGCUGCGGCAAUGC
rnacentral:rRNA from 1 species